rnacentral:rRNA from 1 species
GUGAGGAAUAUUGCGCAAUGGAGGCAACUCUGACGCAGCCAUGCCGCGUGCAGGAAGAAGGCGCUACGCGUUGUAAACUGCUUUUAACCGGGAAGAAACCCCAGGACGUGUCCUGGGUUGACGGUACCGGAGGAAUAAGCACCGGCUAACUUCGUGCCAGCAGCCGCGGUAAUACGAAGGGUGCAAGCGUUAUCCGGAUUCAUUAGGUUUAAAGGGUGCGUAGGCGGAGCGUUAAGUCAGUGGUGAAAUCCUGCAGCUUAACUGUAGACUUGCCAUUGAUACUGGCGCUCUUGAGUGCGCUUGAAGUGGGCGGAAUGUGCCGUGUAGCGGUGAAAUGCUUAGAUAUGUCACAGAACACCAAUUGCGAAGGCAGCUUACUAAGGUGUCAAUGACGCUGAGGCACGAAAGCGUGGGGAUCAAACAGGAUUAGAUACCCGGGUAGUCC